rnacentral:rRNA from 1 species
UACGGGGGGGGCAAGCGUUGUUCGGAAUUACUGGGCGUAAAGGGCGCGUAGGCGGCCUACUAAGUCGGACGUGAAAUCCCUCGGCUCAACCGAGGAACUGCGUCCGAUACUGGCAGGCUGGAAUCCGGGAGAGGGAUGCGGAAUUCCAGGUGUAGCGGUGAAAUGCGUAGAUAUCUGGAGGAACACCGGUGGCGAAGGCGGCAUCCUGGACCGGUAUUGACGCUGAGGCGCGAAAGCUAGGGGAGCAAACGGG